CUUCAGAGAUCUUCAGGGGAUCUAGAAGUAUGACUGGGGUGGUGCCGCUUAUGCUUGCUUCCUCCAGAUGAUGGACCACCUGGCCUUCGGUGACCCUAGUCUGUACGGAGCCUCCUUCAUUCUUCAGAUUCCUGGGCAUAUGAGCACCUUAGCUUUCUUUGCCCUCCCCUAACUGAUGGGGAACAUGAUAAUUUUCCCAUCACUAGGAAGUGGGGGAAGAAUGAGACUUUUCGUGGUCCUCCGCCCCUUUUUAUCACAUGGAGAGAUGUGUUGAACCGACUUACUAAGUAUGGCAGGCUUAUCCCCUUCCCUGGCUUCAACACUCCCAGAUCUGCAGGUGCUUCCAUAGAGGGUUUAUCUCACAUGAGUACCAGCCCGGUUCACAACAUGGUGGAGGUGUCCUCAUCUAUUUCAGGCUUUCUCGGGUGGAUGUACACUGAUGCGAGUGAUCCUUCUAUUUAGCUAAUAAUACCGAGGACAAUGAUGGAUGACGAGAGAAACUUCUAUUCAGCUGAUAAUACCGAGGACAAUGAUGGAUGAAGAGAGAAUGGAUCUCCCUAUUCCUUUUGACUGUGUAAGGCAUCUUCCUCUCCCUAUUGUACAUUUUACUCUUCAUCUCACUCUCUGCCCAUUAUAGGUUUCCUAUGCUGUCUAUGUCGAGUGCCGUUAGAUGAUCCAGAGCCUCAACACAUGUUUGUAUCAUCACACAAAGCACAUCCAAGACCUGACGAACACGUCACGAGUCUUCAGGCGAGAUUUGGCCAACCCGAUCCCAGAUUUGGAGGCAGGUGUCCUGCCCUUGGAUAUGGAGGUGGAGGUCUUGCCUUGGAUAUGGAGGUGGAGGUCCUGCCCCUAGGUAUGGAGGCAAAGUAGCUGAUCUUGGAUUUGGAGGCAGGGUAUCUGGCCCAGGAUUUGUAGGUGGGGAUCCGGUCCUGUAUAUGGAGGAGUUGACCCCUGCUAUGGAGGUGGGAGUGGGGAGUCUGACGUAGGCCCCACGUUCUGUUUGAAUGAUCUUGAUCUCUUAUGUGGUAAUGAUGGGCAGGACGGGCAGUCAUAGAACCAGGACCU